rnacentral:rRNA from 1 species
UGGUCCUACGGGAGGCAGCAGUGGGGAAUAUUGCACAAUGGGCGCAAGCCUGAUGCAGCAACGCCGCGUGAGCGAAGAAGGUCUUCGGAUCGUAAAGCUCUGUCCUUGAGGAAGAAGGAAGUGACGGUACUCAAGGAGGAAGCCCCGGCUAACUACGUGCCAGCAGCCGCGGUAAUACGUAGGGGGCAAGCGUUAUCCGGAUUUACUGGGUGUAAAGGGAGCGCAGGCGGCGCGUUAAGCCUGGUGUGAAAGCCCGCGGCCCAACCGCGGGACUGCAUUGGGAACUGGCGCGCUGGAGUGCCGGG